UAUUUUUUAUAGUUACUUCAAUAGUGUUAGAUAGUUAAGAUUGAUAAAUUGUAUUAUACCAGUUUUAUAUUUGUUAAAUGAGAGGUUUUUUUCUAACUACGAUCUAGUAUAUUGGAAUUCAAACUAUGGAUUUGACAAAUAAGGAAAAGUCAUUAUAAAUGUGGUAGAAGUUCUGAGAAGACCCCGAAAUUCAGAAUUUCUGAACAAUCUGUGGAGAUGCUGCUGAACCGAGUAGUCAUCUACUCGAACGACCAACGAAUCAGUUGAGUUUACAUAAUCACAACUCGAAAUUAUGUUAACCCAUUUGAUCCCAAGUAAAAGAAAAAUAUAAAAACACGUGUUUCAGUCAAAAAAUCUUUAUUAUUUCACAUUCUAAAAUGAGUUUUCGUAAUAAUUAACAUUGAAAAAAACAACGGCACAAAAAUACGGGAUGGUUCAUACACGCACCACUGGUAAUGAAAGUGAAAAAAUAUAUUU